CAGGAUGAACGCUAGCGGCAGGCUUAACACAUGCAAGUCGAGGGGCGAGCGGGAUGUAGCAAUACAUGCCGGCGACCGGCGGAUGGGUGCGUAACGCGUAUGCAACCUACCUUAUACAGGGGAAUAACCUUUCGAAAGGGAGACUAACACCCCAUAGUAUUGAUUUAAGGCAUCUUAGAUUAAUUAAAUAUUUAUAGGUAUAAGAUGGGCAUGCGUAUGAUUAGCUAGUUGGUAAGGUAACGGCUUACCAAGGCGACGAUCAUUAGGGGUUCUGAGAGGAAGGUCCCCCACACUGGUACUGAGACACGGACCAGACUCCUACGGGAGGCAGCAGUGAGGAAUAUUGGUCAAUGGGCGCAAGCCUGAACCAGCCAUGCCGCGUGCAAGGAAGACGGCCUUAUGGGUUGUAAACUGCUUUUACAUAAGACUAACCGUAUAUUUGCGAAUAUACCUGAAUGUAUUAUGAGAAUAAGGAUCGGCUAACUCCGUGCCAGCAGCAGC
rnacentral:rRNA from 1 species